UGUACACACCGCCCGUCAAGCCAUGGAAGCUGGGUGUACCUAAAAGUCGGUAACCGACAAGGAGCCGCCGUAAGGGUAAAACUAGUAACUGGGGCU
rnacentral:rRNA from 1 species